CACCGAGACAUGGGCGGAUGGACAGCUCUGACCUGGGCGGCUUACAAAGGUCGUGUGGAGGUCACCAAGCUGCUGCUGGAGCACGGAGCCAACCCCAACACCACGGGACAGCAGUACAGUGUGUAUCCCAUCAUCUGGGCAGCAGGUCGAGGUCACGCUGACAUCGUCAAAGUUCUUCUCCAUGAAGGAGCCAAAGUCAACUGUUCAGACAAGGUGAGGAAACGAGGAGAUGAGGAGACGAGGAGACGAGGACACGAGGAGAUGAGGACACGAGGAGACAAGGACACGAGGAGACGAGGAAACGAGGAGAUGAGGACACGAGGAGAUGAGUACAAUACUAGACCUGAUCCCUGAUCAAUCCCUCACUGUGUGUGUGUGUGUGUGUCUCUCUCUCUCU